rnacentral:rRNA from 1 species
UACGAAGGGAGCUAGCGUUGUUCGGAAUUACUGGGCGUAAAGGGCGCGUAGGCGGACAUCUAAGUCAGGGGUGAAAUCCCAGGGCUCAACCCCUGGAAUUGCCUUUGAUACUGGACGUCUCGAGUUCGGGAGAGGUGAGUGGAAUUCCGAGUGUAGAGGUGAAAUUCGUAGAUAUUCGGAGGAACACCAGAAGCGAAGGCGGCUCACUGGCCCGAUACUGACGCUGAGGCGCGAAAGCGUGGGGAGCAACAGG